GGUCGUGUAGUACAGUGGUUAGUACGUUUGUCUUACAUAAGCACUGUCUGUGUGAUCACAAAAGGUCGCAGGUUCGAUCCCUGCCACGAUCA
rnacentral:tRNA from 1 species